CAACAACCGAAAGGAGGUGGUCCAGUGUCUCAUUGUCAUCAGCCGCAGGCAUCGGUGGCCCUGACCUGGAUCGUCGCCUCCGGCUUCGCAGCCUGAGCGCACGACACGGGUCGCCGGGCUGCGGUUCGGCAAUGGAAGGGUCGCUCCGGGAGACCGGGGCGGCCC
rnacentral:sRNA from 21 species